AUGAAUGCGGUGAUCAUACACCCGGGCUGGCGAAAAACCCUGAGGCUCGUCGAAGAGGUCGCGGUGCUGCUGCAGGAGGUGAUCCAGCAAGGGAUGCUCGGGCUCGGCGGCGGCCGCGGCCAGCUGAACCUGUGGCGUCGCCGGAGAGGCACCACCCACGUCCUCCCACCGGACGCGGCGACCCUGGCGCCAGAAGGUCAUCGUCAGGGCGUCGAAGUUCCAGAGGAUGGGACCAAGGGUCUGCAAGAAGUCGACGCUGAGGAUGAAGUCGAAGCAGCCCAAGUCGAUGCCCGCACACGUGAUGGUGAAGUGCUCGUCGCCAGUAGUAAUGGGCACGUUCCGCGCCAGCCCAUGACACCGGAGGCGAUCGCCGUUAGCCACCGUGACCCGAAGUUGCUCCCCUCCCGUCGGCUAGAGCGCUAA
rnacentral:rRNA from 1 species